UACGUAGGGUGCGAGCGUUAAUCGGAAUUACUGGGCGUAAAGCGUGCGCAGGCGGUUUUGUAAGUCUGAUGUGAAAUCCCCGGGCUCAACCUGGGAAUUGCGUUGGAGACUGCAAGGCUGGAGUCUGGCAGAGGGGGGUAGAAUUCCACGUGUAGCAGUGAAAUGCGUAGAGAUGUGGAGGAACACCGAUGGCGAAGGCAGCCCCCUGGGUCAAGACUGACGCUCAUGCACGAAAGCGUGGGGAGCAAACAGG
rnacentral:rRNA from 1 species